UCAAACACACUGAAGUAGCGAUUAGAAAUUUGCUGAAGUAUUUACUUCAACCUCGUGUUUUGAAAAUUUCGGUAGAAUUCGAAGAUGAAAAAAACAUCUGGGGCAUAUUCAUGCGCUGGAAAGGAAGAUACAAUGGGCAUUCGUAGCUGAAAGUGAAACAGAAAGUAAAUGAAAAUCUCUAGCAAGGUCUCGAAUCGAAGUUAUCUUUGAAGAAAGCCUUGUGCGAUCAACUCACUAGAACCUUGCAAGUCUUGGUUUGCCAAGUUCAGGAUGUUGAUUGGUGCAGUGGGUUAUUGGACUACGACAAGUUAUGGAAGAAGCCUCCUAAUCGCGAUUUUUUUUGCCCUGUGUCGAGCCUACAAAGUUGUAUACACCUCCUUCAGAGUCAAAUCGUUACCUGCUUGUCCAUACUAAUGGCGGUCUUAAUCAAAUGCGGGUUGGGAUAUGUGAUAUUGUAACUGUGGCCCGAAUCAUUAAUGCGACUCUUGUGAUCCCUGAACUUGACAAGAGGUUAUUUUGGCAAGACUCAAAGGUAUUCAAUAAUCCGAGGGAGCCGCCAUUCACCAUUGAGGAGAUAAAUGAAGUUCGGGAAAAGUUGGCAAACUUCAUUACCAGUGAUUGUCUUUGAUAUUUUCUUGUACUGAAUCUUAUAUUAUGGAUGCUGGUUUUUCAUAUGAUUGUAAUGUAAUCGACUUUUAUAUUUACAAUUAUAUACUAUUUAAUUUAAUAUCUAUAUAAUUGGAUAUUUUUUA